UACGUAGGGUGCAAGCGUUAAUCGGAAUUACUGGGCGUAAAGCGCGUGUAGGCGGCCAACUAAGUCGGGCGUGAAAUCCCACGGCUCAACCGUGGAAGUGCACUCGAAACUGGAUGGCUAGAGUACUGCAGGGGAGACUGGAAUUCCUGGUGUAGCGGUGGAAUGCGCAGAUAUCAGGAGGAACACCGGUGGCGAAGGCGGGUCUCUGGGCAGUAACUGACGCUGAGGAGCGAAAGCGUGGGGAGCGAACAGG
rnacentral:rRNA from 1 species